rnacentral:lncRNA from 1 species
AGUGCACCUUGCUGCCUUGAAUGUGUUUUCGGUUUUAGAUUUUGUUUACUCUUUGAGAGUGGUAUCUGUUUGAUUCUUUUUCAAUAUUUGUACACUUCCUUGCUUUUAGCUUUUAAAUACUGUCUUUGAUGUAAUCUGCCUUGGAUCCUUUUUAAGGAGAAAGGUGGGAUAAAAAUAUUUGUACAUGCAUGCAUGCACACAUACACACGCACAGAUAUAUGGACCUAUCGCAUGAAUAUGAGCAAAACACACAACGUCAGAAGGAUAAGGGGAAGAUUAAUCAAGCAAAACGUGACAGAAAACGAAUGUUUUCAAAGAAGGCCGACAAAGAUGAUGAGGAUUGUCUUGUGGCACGAAGUCCCAUCUACUGGGUCCUCGUUUCUCACCACCCACACACUUCAGAGCCUGGCCUGAAAACACAAUAAAUUAACAUGAAACAUGAAAGCCAUUCUUAAACUGUGGAAAUUAUACCAUCUACAGCCCUACCUGGACGAGCGGAGUCUCAUGACAGUUACACACACACUGAUAACAUCUUGCAUAGAUUAUGCUCAGAAUAUGCUAAAUUAUGAACACUCUUUAAAGGAAGCCUUCUUAGUUUGCUAGCAGCAGCAGCAGAAGAAGAAGAAGAAGCAGAAGAAGAAGCAGAAGGAGAAGAAGAAGAAGGAAGUAGUAGUAGUAGCAGAAGAAGAUGAUGAAGAAGAUCUAGAAUCCAGUUGUCUAGUAGUAGCAGAAGAUAAUGAUGAAGAAGAUCUAGAAUCCAGUUGUCUUUCUGGAAGCCCAUGGAAGCUCUCUCCUCCAACACCACACUUUUGAUAUUAUAGAUUUAAGAUAACCCUAAGAUAACCACAUACCCCCUGGAGGGCGUGGAAACAAAAAAGGCCUUUGCUUGAUGGUGGAAAAUUGAAGCGGGCAUCUGGUAGACCUUCUGAAGGCAAGCAGUACACGUUUGGAACAUGAGGCCCCAUCCAACGUCCAUCUCACUUAAGACCUCUUGCCAAUGAUCCUGGAGGGCGUGGAAAAAAAAU